rnacentral:tRNA from 1 species
UUAAUUGAAACCAAAAAGAGGUAAAUCACUGUUAAUGAUUAAAUUGAGUAUUUCUCCAAUUAAA